GGUUCAGUCUGCAGGUGGCUGCUAUUGGGCAGUUACUCAGGCUUUUAGUAACAGCCCUCUGGUUUGGUGUGGCGCUGUCACGCGGUUCUCAGGUCCGUGAGCUUCCACAGCUUCCCUCUGGUUCCUGGGUCGGGUUUAGGCCCUGCCUUUCCUGUGUGGAGCACCGAGAGAUGACGAUGCUCUCAGGUGGAGGUCUUCCAAACUGCAGGAAGAAAUGAGAGAAAAGGAACGAUUAUACAGCAUCAGUCAGCACCAGAAACUUUCUAAAUCUAAGAAAACAGUCAGCCUCAUGUAUAUCUGCUGCAUCUGAGGGUUGUAUCUCAACAAGGAGAGAAGAAAAACACAUUUUCCUCUUGUAAAAUUCACCCUGGACACUGGGUGCAUGUACAACCCGAUGGCUUCAAUCAUGUGAUCCUACCAACCUUGUCUCCCUCUUGCCCACAACCAUAAAUGCUUUUUUUCCCCCCU